AUUGAGGAUGAUAGAUUCUAUGUGUUUAGAGAGCCUUCAUAUAAAAUAAUUUUUAUUGUUGAAAAAUCAUUCGUUAUGUUUAAAUAUUGUACGUUGGUAAUUAUUGCCCUAUUGUGGAUAGUUAGGUAAUGUUAAAUGUUUCAAUAUUGGUUAUAAUUCUGAAUAAACUUCUUCAUGCACAUAACAGUGUUGUUUCUGCUGAAUUAGUUCCUUAAAAUGAGCCCUUAGGAUUAUUUUAGUCAAUGUUCAUUGAGUCAAUGUUCUUCAAUAUCUUUAUGUUUUUUGCUGCCAAGUGACAUUCUGACUGCCUAAGGAUUGUGCCACUCAACACAAGCUAUAUAUUGUUAGUUAUUUGUCAUAGAUCGGGAAAGAGAAGCUCAGAUAGAUUAUGUGAAUGAACUAAUGCAGGUAGAAAAAUACAACAGAGUUUUGAACCAGUGUCCUUGAUCUUUGCUUAGUCUAGGAGUUCUUUUUGAUUCACACUUGCGCUCACUCAGAUCGUUAUCUGGAGAACCCCUACUCUGUGCUGUAGACUGCUAUUACCAGGGAUACAACGAGGAAAAUGCAUACUUCCUAUUUCCAGAGAGCUAAUGGUCUACUGCCCUUCCCAGAAUCCCUCCUCUUUAUCUCCCUGGCAUGGAUAAAAAUCUCAGGUGAACAGACUGAACAACAAAAGAAGGAGAGAAAAAGUGUUAAAGUCAUUUACUCGGUCGUAGCUUGGAUACUAAUUUUUGACCCAGCUUCCAGGACUGUGCUGUGAGAUGUGAGGGAAGUGCAUCCUGUGUUGUACAGGAUAUGGCUGGGUCAACCACGUGGGUGGAGGCCUGGGAUUAAGAAACCCAUCUCAGUGGGGAGUGACUACAGAGAUUCAGUGUGAGUUUAAGAAGGAGAGAGUACACCGAGGUGCUCAGUGGGGAGAAUGACAGCUUGGAGUAAUAACUGAGGGAGUUUGAUGGAAGCAUUCUGAAUUGAGUUCAUUUUAUUGUGAACGACUCACACUUCUUGAGUUCUUUCUGUGUGGUUGGCAUUGUUCUAGGUGCUGGAAGAAAGUAGAAGAAAAAAGCUUUGGGGGCUGGAGAUCAAGACGUUCCAGGAAACGUCUGGCACAUAUCAAUGCACGUGAGGUAGGAGGCAGAGUGUGGAGGUGGUGGCGUUUCAGUUUAGUGUGCUCCAGCUCUCUCCCUCCUUCUUUCCCUCUGGAUGCCCUUUUCUCUACCCUCUCCCCCACUGCCCCCUCCUGGACCUCCAGGUGCCAAGUUAGCACCGUCGUGUUAGCCCAGCCCCUAGAGGAGGCACCUUGCCCAGGCCUGCACACCUACUUCGGGAUCGCAACCACAAAUGCCUGCAGGUGCCAGCCAGGUCAGCCACAAGAAUGAGUUGCCCAGUGAUGGCUUUAUGCUACCAUCAGUUGAAGAUCCAAGAUGGAAACCUAAAGUCCACAUUUUUCCUGCUAUGCCAAGCUACCCUUAAACAGUAAAAUAUGAACCCACAGAUGAGGAAGAGCUCGAGAAAAAUAAAUGAAAUGCUGAGGAAUUGGCAUACCCCUCCCGAAGAAGGAAGCAAAAUUUAUGAACUUCAGAAUUAAAUUCAAAGGAUAUAGUACUUGGUGAAUUGCACAAAGGAUCACUCAAUCCUUCCAACCGAGGAGAGAAACUGUGAUUGGAAAGCUCCCUUCCCAAAGGUGUGCCCCCUGAAUUCUGGGAUUGCAUAAUGUGAGUGCAAAUGAAAGUCAAGUCAAUGAAAGCAGUCAAGGAGGGACAAGAGAGGAGGGAGGGUAUUUCCAGAGGAGAUUUGAAAUGAGAUCCCGGGUUGAUGAGGCAAAGACAUACAGGAUGGUUGUUCAAAUGACAGGAGCUACAGAAGAUGUGCCUCUGUGUUUGUCUUUAUGAAGAGAGAAAAGCUUAAACGGACAGGAACACCAAAUAUUAAAAGUACUAUAUACAGCACAAAACAUUGUUUUAAAAUCUGAAAAUGCUACAAGAACACAGAUUUCACUUUAAAUAAUUUUGCUGAACAUGAUUUUCAAAAGUGAAUGAGUAAUUUUACAUGGUAUGGUGGUAUAGUGGUUGAAUUGUGGCCCCCAAAAAGAGUCUCCACGUUCUAACCCCCAGGACCUGUGAAUGUGACCUUUUUGGGAAAAAGCAUAUUUACUAGUGUAAUUAAGUUAAAGAUAUUUAGAUGAGAUCAUCUUAGAUUACCUGGGUGGGCCCUAAAUCCAUUGACAACUGUCCUUAUAAGAGAUAAAAGAGAAGACAGACACACAGAGCGAGAAGGUGUUGUGAAGAACGGGGCAGAGAUUGGAGCGAUGCAGCCACAGGGCAAGGAAUGCCUGAAGCCACCAGCAGCUGGAAGAAGGAUUCUCUCCUAGAGAUUUCAGAGGGAGCAUGCUCUGCAAACACUUUGAUUUUGGACUUCUGGCCUCCAGAACUCAUCACCCCAGCAGUGACCUCUCACCCUGGAAGCAGUAUUAGUUCCAGUUGGUAGCAGUUUCCAGCCUCUUUCAAUACUCCC
rnacentral:lncRNA from 1 species